GACGAACGCUGGCGGCGUGCUUAACACAUGCAAGUCGAACGAAGUGGCGAACGGGUGAGUAACGCGUAAUCCACCUGCCCUUCAGAGGGGGACAACAGCUGGAAACGACUGCUAAUACCGCAUACUGAAGGAGGGGAUUGCGCCUGAUUAGCUAGUUGGAGGGGUAACGGCCCACCAAGGCGAUGAUCAGUAGCCGGUCUGAGAGGAUGAACCACCACAUUCAGACUGAGACCCGGCCCAGCCUCCUACAGGAGGCAGCAGUGGGGACUCUUCCGAAAUGGACGAAAGUCUGACGGGGCAACGCCGCGGGCGUGAUGACGGCCUUCGGGUUGUAAAGCUCUGUUAAUCGGGACGCGGUACCGGAAUAGAAAGCCACGGCUAACUACGUGCCAGCAGCCGCGGUAAUUC
rnacentral:rRNA from 1 species